UUGUUUACCUGCUCAAGCCUCAGCAGU
rnacentral:piRNA from 1 species